AUUGAACGCUGGCGGCAUGCCUUACACAUGCAAGUCGAACGGCAGCACGGGUGCUUGCACCUGGUGGCGAGUGGCGAACGGGUGAGUAAUACAUCGGAACGUACCUUAUCGUGGGGGAUAACGCAGCGAAAGCUGUGCUAAUACCGCAUACGCCCUGAGGGGGAAAGCGGGGGAUCGAAAGACCUCGCGCGAUUAGAGCGGCCGAUGCCUGAUUAGCUUGUUGGUGGGGUAAAAGCCCACCACGGCGACGAUCAGUAGAUGGUAUGAUAGGACGAGCAGCCACACUGCGACUGAGACACGGCCCAGACUCCUACGGUAGGCAGCAGUUGGGAAUUUUGGACAAUUGUGGCAACCCUGAUCCAGCGAUGCCGCGUGAGUGAAGAAGGCCUUCGGGUUGUAAAGCUCUUUUGUCAGGGAAGAAACACCGGCUCUAACACAGUCCGGGAAUGACGGUACCUGAAGAAUAAGCACCGGCUAACUACGUGCCAGCAGCCGCAGUAA
rnacentral:rRNA from 1 species